rnacentral:rRNA from 1 species
GGAAUAUUGGACAAUGGGCGAAAGCCUGAUCCAGCCAUGCCGCGUGUGUGAAGAAGGUCUUCGGAUUGUAAAGCACUUUAAGUUGGGAGGAAGGGCAGUAAAUUAAUACUUUGCUGUUUUGACGUUACCGACAGAAUAAGCACCGGCUAACUCUGUGCCAGCAGCCGCGGUAAUACAGAGGGUGCAAGCGUUAAUCGGAAUUACUGGGCGUAAAGCGCGCGUAGGUGGUUUGUUAAGUUGAAUGUGAAAUCCCCGGGCUCAACCUGGGAACUGCAUCCAAAACUGGCAAGCUAGAGUAGGGCAGAGGGUGGUGGAAUUUCCUGUGUAGCGGUGAAAUGCGUAGAUAUAGGAAGGAACACCAGUGGCGAAGGCGACCACCUGGGCUCAUACUGACACUGAGGUGCGAAAGCGUGGGGAGCAAACAGGAUUAGAUACCCCUG